AAAUCAAACAGUUCAAUUUCACAGUUCAAAUCAAACAGUUCAAUUUCACAGUUCAAAUCAAACAGUUCAAGUUUCAGUCAGUUCAAUUUCACAGUUCAAUUUCACAGUUCAAAUCAAACAGUUCAAAUCAAACAGUUCAAAUCAGAAGUCUAAUUCGUUAGUUCAAAAUCAAAGUUCGUAGUUCAAAGUUCAAUUCGUGAUCCGAAAAUCCACCAAGCGUUGACAACCAGGCGUCACGCAUCAGAAUCCGGAUACACCCAAGCGUUGGCAACCAGGCGCCACGCUAUAAAAGCAGUGACAUGUUAGGCGUGAAGCUAACCACUCGACCACGGGAGCAACAAUUUUGGCUGGAUCUUUGAAUACAAAUGGCCAAUACAGCUUGUUCGCGACGAUCGCGACCCGAGCUAUAAAACGAGCGGAGAAGAGGAGAAGAAAGGAUGAUGCAAUCGCAUGCACACAUAGCAUAUGUAGUGCAGUAUACACGGGCCGAAAGUUGUGCAGUCCACUGAUGAUUCAACAAGAGCCAAAGGUGGUACCGCUCAUGACAACUCUACACGAGCUGAUGAUUGCGCCGGCUAGUGAUCAUUCUAUCCUGGAUUCCUCGAGUCGAAAAAGACGCACCACGCUAGAUAUGGAGUGCAGACUAGGGAGUCGUUGCUGAUUAACGGUCAGCUGCAUCCCAAUAGGAAGUAUCCCAUGUCGGGCACAUGUACAGAGCACUGAAGACUGCAACAUCCCAAUUAUGAGAACACUUGUAAUACUAACCUCGAGCCAACCGCGAGUAAUCGGUUACAUAUUACUAACAUAGUUGUAAGCACACAUUGUCAAAAUAUUGAACUCCCGGCCCGUUAGGCUGACGCCAUAUGAGCCUUAAUAAAAAUAUAUAUUUUGGUGCAUGAA